GAAGAAAUCUGUAGUGAAAUUAAUUGAGAAUGGACAGAUCACCACUGAUCAAGAAGGUCAUGUCGAAGAAAAUAAAUGGAACCUACUUCAAGAUUUUUAUAACUAUUCCAGGACGAGGAAGCAGGAAGAUCAUCAACAAAGGAUGGCAAAAGAAAAGCAGGACAGAGAUAACCUUGCAGGAGGAGAGCAGAAGUUAAAUUUCAAGAGCAACUUGAAAAAUAUUCUCUCAGUUGUAUUGAAGCAUUUCAACUCAGAGUCAACAUUUUGUGGGUUCAACUCCAGUCUAAGACUUCAGCACACCUUCAUGCAGUGAUCAAGAAGUGCUGCGUUGUCAAAAGUUCUACAUUUCAAAUGAGACCCCCUAUUCCAUGCGAUGAUUCAAAGAAAUGAACGGGAUUCUACUCCUCUCCUGUACAAUACUUAUUUCUAUACCAGCAUAUAAAAAACAU